rnacentral:rRNA from 1 species
UAGUGUCUAUAUUAGAUUUGAAACACUUCUUUCCUUUUCGAAUUUGAAAGUGAAACGAUCUAAGGGUUUAAUUACAUUACUGCAAGGGCAGCUUUGUGGGAAAAAAACCUGAUGCUAGAAGG